AGAGAGAGAGAGAGAGAGAGAGAGAGAGAGAGAGAGCGAGCGACAGGAAGUGAAGUGAAGUGAGUGUGGACGCUUGACUGACUAAUAAAUCACCGCCGGAAAUUAGUCGGUGAAAAGUUUACGCAAACAAAUACGUAGUGGGUGUUUUACGGUUAUCCGCCCGACACAAUUUUCACCGGGAUUAUUUGUGGGCAACUGGAGAUAUUUCUAUCCGAAGUUUAGCCGAGUUUGCAUGAGUUUCACCUGUGUGUUAGCUCGUUAGCUAACGGCGCUUGUUUCUUUAGCAUUCGUUAGCAAAGUGAAUGGACUCUUACCCUCCGCAUAGCUAACCCAGUAGUUUUGUAGUUCAUCGUAUUCGACGUGGAGACCUCGAGAAUUUGUGAGAAUGUUCUACAAGUUAUCCAGCUAACGCUCAGAGAUGCUUCUACGUCGCGGGAGACACCGCGCCAUCUUCUGGACAUCUCUGGGAGAGGAGCGACGUCAUUAGCUGCCGAGGCCACGCCCUUUCUGGACACCUGUCCACCACCGGCCCUUGUUCUUCAUCCGGGUCCCGAGAGACUGGACAACUAAGGACUCGUGCCCUGCUCAGAGGCACUUCAGCAUGAGAACACACCGUGUGUCCUCCACGACACUCACUCGACUCCACUACAGCUGCGGGCUGAAAAAACACCUCACGCAGCGACGACACAUGACCUGAGCUCAGGAUUCGCAUCCACCAGCCCCGGCUCUAAUUAACCUCUCAGCUGAAUCAGAUGCAGCAGGAUGACCCCCCCCCCCCCUCCCAUCCAGUCUCCGAACCUCUGGAGAGGCCGGAGAUAUUCCACCGCUUGCAGAAACAACGCCGUUCCUCCUGGUCCCGACACGUGAGCAGUCUCCAGACUAAAAAUAUCCCUUUCAGAAGGACUCGAGUGAAACACCAGUAUUUUCUGUUGAAUAUGCAGGAGUAAGGAGAACCAGGUGUAAGCACAGGGAGGUAUAGGCACCGCUGGGGGGGAAAUUACGAUAAAAAUGUUUCCGUUUCCAGUCGCUUAGUGAACUAAAUGCCACAUUUUUUUCCCCGAUUUUAUUGGCAAAUAUUUGAAAUAACAAAAAAACAUAGUGUGUCGAGGAAUCCAGAAAGUGUCGGUCAAUCGCAGGCUUUUCACUUAUAAAUGUUGCGGUGUCUUUAUUUGCUGACGUCAUUGUGGCAGUGACAUGAAGUGACAGAUUCCAUCUCUUCGCUUUGUGCGAUGAGCUGGAAAAAAAGCCUCAUCCUUCCUACAGCCCCGGUCAAAAGGUCAACAGCAGGCGCCAAAGAGAACAUGCAACUUCAACAUGCACUCCCUCCUGUUUCUCUCUCUCUCUUUCAUCGCAUCAUAUCUCGCUGUUCCCUUUAGUACGCGCACUCCGAUGCUUCCGCCGUUGUCGUAUUCAACAGAUGCCAGGAGGGCUUCGGUGCUGGAAGACGCUGGCCAUUAAACAAUCACGUUGAAUUACCACUGAAGCAGCUGAAAGGAGGAAGAUCUGAACUCAGGAGUUAAAAAUCCCUCUAAAGUUCCUCUUCGUCACGCCAGGGUUUUAGCUGCAGUGUCUUACUCAAACUUUAUAGCUACUUUCAAAUUUAGCCUCUUAUCAAUUUAUGCUGGACAUUAUAGUAAAAAAGAAAAUAUAUUUUAUUCACUGUAAGAAGCAAGGACAGUCAUUCAUGGUGUCUCACAGUGUUUAUUAAUUGAGCUUUCAAAGGAAAAAAGCCAUAAGGAACAUUUACAUAUGCCCGGAUCAUAAAAUCGCCAUUACUUCAUCAGAAAAACCAUUAUCUGCACGUGUAGUUCCUUCCCUCAACAAGUGAAUCACUGAUUUUAUGGGUUUAAUUAAAAAGCAGGGCACGAAGAAAGUUCCGUGAAGAUAAAGUUUGUGGUAAGUUACUGUCCCCUGUGUAACAAUAGUGCUCUAAAACAAAAGUAUGCCAUUGGCAAAGUGGAGUAAGAAAAUAAAAUUCUUGACAUGCA